UGGGAAGAAGGGAGUAGAUUUGAUACAAAUUGGUUAUUCUUCUCUGAUUCGUUUUCAGAACUUACCAAACCAAAGAUUUGAUAAACUAUGAUUUUGGUUAUUAUUUGGUUUGCUAAUUAAUAAAACUUACCAACCUCUUGCCAAAUCAGUGAUAAUAUUUUUUUUCUUUUAUUUAGCAAAUCAUUGGCACCCUGUGACCGUACCAAUAAAGUGGUGAGACGUGGAAGCGUGAGGUUGGUUCCGUGACACGCUUGUACGAGCGCGCAGGGUACGGUGUACCGAUCGGGAUUCGGGAGUUAGCCAAGCUAGCUAGCCUGAUCAAUCAAUGCUGCCGUACGUGGUACCGUGUGUAUAGCUAAUGUCUCGGUCCGGUCCAUAGGCCUAACUCAUUUGUUUUUCUCCAGGAAGAAGUUGUUGUUAUUUUUCUGUUAAGAGCAAAUAUUAUAGCAGACUAUAAGUCGGCUAAAUUCUGAGGUGAAAGAGAGAAGAAGAGAGAAUGUAAAAACGGGCUGUAA
rnacentral:lncRNA from 1 species